rnacentral:rRNA from 1 species
UACGGUGGGGGUAAGCGUUGUUCGGAAUUACUGGGCGUAAAGCGUGCGCAGGCGGUUUUGUAAGCCAGAUGUGAAAGCCCCGGGCUUAACCUGGGAAUGGCAUUUGGGACUGCAAGGCUUGAGUGCGGCAGAGGAGACUGGAAUUCCUGGUGUAGCAGUGAAAUGCGUAGAUAUCAGGAGGAAUACCGAUGGCGAAGGCAGGUCUCUGGGCUGACACUGACGCUCAUGCACGAAAGCGUGGGGAGCAAACAGG